CCCUAUNAUUGAAAANGUAAAUAUAAAUGCUUGAGUAUUAGUAGUUAUGUUCUUGAAAUUUAAAGGAUUUGGCGGUAUUAUAGUCUAUUCAGAGGAACCUGUCCUAUAAUUGAUGAUCCACGAUUAAUCUGACUUGCUUUAAAGGUUUGUAUAUCGUCGUAGGUUGAAUGUUUUGUAAGGAGAAGGAAUGUUCAAGAUAUUAGGUUAAAGAGAAAAUCANAUCAAGAUACAGCGUAUAGGUAAGGAGAGAUGGGUUACAAUAAAUUUAUUUAUAUGGUUAAAGUAGCUAACACUAUUUUUUAAAGUGGAUUUGAUUGUAAUAUAGUUUAGUUAGACUAUAUGACUGAAGCUCUAUAAUAUGCACAUAUCGCCCGUCGCUCCUGCUCUAAAGCANGAUAAGU
rnacentral:rRNA from 1 species